UGGGGGAUAUUGCACAAUGGGCGAAAGCCUGAUGCAGCGACGCCGCGUGGGGGAUGAAGGCUUUCGGGUUGUAAACCUCUUUCGCUAUCGAACAAGGCCCGCUUAGGGUGGGUUGAGGGUAGGUGGAGAAGAAGCGCCGGCUAACUACGUGCCAGCAGCCGCGGUAAUACGUAGGGCGCGAGCGUUGUCCGGCAUUAUUGGGCGUAAAGGGCUUGUAGGCGGCUUGUUGCGCCUGCUGUGAAAACGCGGGGCGUAACUUCGCGCGUGCAGUGGGUACGGGCAGGCUUGAGUGUGGUAGGGGUGACUGGAAUUCCAGGUGUAGCGGUGGAAUGCGCAGAUAUCUGGAGGAACACCGAUGGCGAAGGCAGGUCACUGGGCCAUUACUGACGCUGAGGAGCGAAAGCAUGGGUAGCGAACAGG
rnacentral:rRNA from 1 species